rnacentral:rRNA from 1 species
GCUUGUCUCAAAGAUUAAGCCAUGCAUGUCUAAGUAUAAACGAUUUUAUACGUGAAACUGCGAAUGGCUCAUUAUAUCAGUUAUAGUUUAUUUGAUGGUCCUUACUACUUGGAUAACCGUAGUAAUUCUAGAGCUAAUACAUGCAUCAAGCCCUGACUUCGGAAGGGGUGUAUUUAUUAGAUGGAAACCAAUGCGGGGCAACCCGGAAAAUGGUGAUUCAUAAUAACUGUCGUAUCGAGCAAUCGAAGCGCCAUACAAGUUUCUGCCCUAUCAGCUUUGGAUGGUAGGGUAUUGGCCUACCAUGGCUUUAACGGGUAACGGAGAAUUAGGGUUCGAUUCCGGAGAGGGAGCCUGAGAAACGGCUACCACAUCCAAGGAAGGCAGCAGG